AGUGAACGCUGGCGGCGUGCUUAACACAUGCAAGUCGAACGAGAAACGGAUUUAGCUUUCUAAAUUGCAGUCUAAGUGGCGCACGGGUGAGUAAUGUAUAGGUAAUAUGCCUCUUACUAAGGGAUAACAAUUGGAAACGAUUGCUAAUACCUUAUAUGCCUUUAAUACGAAAGGACGCACGGGAAAGAUUUAUUGGUAAGAGAUUAGCCUGUAUGGUAUCAGCUUGUUGGUGAGGUAAUGGCUAACUAAGGCUAUGGCGCCUAACUGGUUUGAGAGGAUGAUCAGUCACACUGCAACUGAGACACGGACCAGACUCCUACGGGAGGCAGCAGUGGGGAAUAUUGCACAAUGGACGAAAGUCUGAUGCAGCAACGCCGCGUGGAGGAUGACACAUUUCGGUGCGUAAACUCCUUUUAUAUAGGAAGAUAAUGACGGUACUAUAUGAAUGUGCACCGGCUAAUUCCGUGCCAGCCGCCGCCGUAA
rnacentral:rRNA from 1 species